rnacentral:rRNA from 1 species
GUGAGGAAUAUUGGACAAUGGAUGGAAAUCUGAUCCAGCCAUGCCGCGUGCAGGAAGACGGCCCUAUGGGUUGUAAACUGCUUUUGUAUGGGAGCAAUAAGGGCUACGUGUAGUCCGAUGAGAGUACCAUACGAAUAAGGACCGGCUAACUCCGUGCCAGCAGCCGCGGUAAUACGGAGGGUCCGAGCGUUAUCCGGAUUUAUUGGGUUUAAAGGGUGCGUAGGCGGUGUGAUAAGUCAGCGGUGAAAUUUUCCGGCUCAACCGGGAUACUGCCGUGUAUACUGUAAGGCUAGGAUAUGGUUGCGGUGGUUGGAAUGUGUGGUGUGACGGUGAAAUGCUUAGAGAUCACACAGAAUAUCGAUUGCGAAGGCAGCUCACAAAGCCAUUAUUGACGCUGAGGCACGAAAGUGUGGGGAUCAAACAGGAUUAGAAACCCCGGUAGUCC